rnacentral:lncRNA from 1 species
AAACAAGCAUUCUUUUAUAUUCACAUAAUGUCAAGUACAAGGUCUAUGACCAAAAGGCCACAAAAACUAACUUUCCAAAAAGAGACGGUCCUAGCUGACGUACACUUCACAUCACCUCCUCUCGGCUCUCGGUCCUCCACUCGACGACCCUGAAAAUAUUGUCCCACAACAGGGUGAGAUAUAAUCUCAGCGAGUCUAAACUCUAAACCCCAAUUAGGAGGGUAAUACGCCACAGGCAUCCUAACCACACAAUCACGCAUUAAGCAUAGAGGACUUACCUCGCCUCAGUUCUACCCUGCAAGUCAGUAUAGUUCAUAUCACAGACAGCCAUACACAUAUGAGUAAUAACUAAGCUCUAACAACUGGCACGUCACACUAAAUUCUCAAAUCAGUACAGGAGUCCUAAUUAUAAGGCCAAAUCGUUAUGACACGUCCCAUACCAUGUCACACAAUUUUGUCCCAUAAUCCGACACAUCACUUCCACUCAACAAGCGUUCUAAUUGGCAAUUACUCCCACUCUAGGGCACGACCUACUCAAAGUUCGGCGGUCUACUGGCGUAAUCAGGUAUCGUCUUACCCCAUUGAGCACGGUAAUGUCUCUCAGAUGACUUUCCCGAAAGAGUAUAGGGCCAAAAUCUACUGCGACCCAAAUCCCACUAAGUGGGUAUCUAAUAUAGGGUAACGUCCAUCUGAUACAGUUCGGGGAUGGGUUCUCUUAAUCGGCACACGACCAUUCAAUCUCGGCCUAGGACACUGUGCAUUGCACUCAAACGCCUCAAUUAAAAUAGUGAUUCUGGCAUAUUUUCUUCGUAUUAAAAACACCCAGUAAAAAUAGUCGUGUGUGGGUAUACAGUUAGAUUGGACCUGGAAAAUUCAUAAUAUUCUUUUCACAAUCACACUGGUUCAUAUAGUAUAUUUUCAGUAUUUAAAACCCAACACUUGGGAUUUUUUGGAUAAAUAUCAAAAUUCACAAAUUUUAGAAUAAUUGACCAAAUUUCCAAUCAGCACUCAAUUUUCAUAAUUUAACACUCAAUUGCAGAAAUUAACCACACCAUUAAAAUCAACACGAAAUUCUAGUCACCGACUAUCCCGACCUAAUUUCCGGAAAAAUAAUUAAUUUCGGAAAUUAAUUAAAUAAAUCAAUUUAAUUUCUAAAAAUAGUAACCUAGGCCAAAAUUAUUAAAUUAAAUACCAAUAUGGACUCAGAAAAUUCCUGAACCCUUCUAAACAAAUAGUGCAAUUUAUCUAGGCCUUAUCUAAACCAUGCUAACCACCUAACAUGCUCAAUUAAAUAAUUAAAUUUCUAAUUUAAUCUAACUAACCACCUAAUUCCUAAUUAAAUAAAUCUAAACACCCCUUAAAUAUCAUUAGCCUACUAAGAAAAUUUUAGAGUAUAAACUCACCAGUUAAUUGCGGAAACUGGUUCACCGUGACAACGGCACGACAACGGCCGAAAUCCGAAUUUUCAACAAUGUCGGCAGAUACUCGGGCCAGGCCCAAAGGCCUUGCAAGCCCACAGCAAAUGCUGGGCUUGGCUUCGGACUUGGGCUUGGUUGCGGGCUGGGCCUGCUUUGCGGGCCCAAGAUGGGCUUGAAACUUGGGCUGAAAUCCAACGGGCUGAGUUGCAAUUGAAUGGACCGAAUUGUUGGCUCGUGGACUGGAAUUGCUGGGCUGAACUUGCAACAAGAUUCGCGGGCUACUGCUGAAGAUGGGCUGCUGAAAACAAUUGCGAACCGGGCUGAGAUCGAGGAGAUGGGCUUAAUGCUGGGCCGGUCGCUGAAACUGAACGUUGACUGGAGAAGCAGCUGGCGUGCGCUGGGGUUUUCGAGCUGGCGGAGAUGGAUGAAGGAAGCAGCAGCUGCUUCGGUGGCUUCACGCUUCGGUUGCUGGACAAGUGGAGAUCGGUCAAGGUAGAAGACACACGGGCUGAAGCUGCUGCAGGCGUUGGGGGCUCCGUGGGUAAAGGCUGGCACGCGGCAGCUUGGAUGACUUGCGAUGGAGGGAACAAUGAAGCAGUAGCGUGGCGUGGAGGAAACCUGGAUGGGUGGCAGCUUGAUCGAAGUGUUGGGGUCAACUUUGCUGGAGUUUUCUUUCUUUGAUUGAUCAAGGAAGCUAGGUGCUUGGACGUGUGGCAAGAAGAGAAUUCGGUGGGGUGUGGGUCUUCGAUGGAUAGCAAAGAAACGUGGAGAGGUGGACUGCUCGAUGAAGAUGGAUACAGAGAAGGAGUUGGCGUGCGCAGGAGACCAACGAAGAAAGAGAGAAUGGGAUGAGGGAGAAAAAUGGUGCAAAAAGUCAAUAAAGGCUAUCCAAAUACUUCAAU